rnacentral:lncRNA from 1 species
GUGUGAACCAGGAGGGAGCAUGAAGAGGAUGAAAGGUCCCUGAAGGGAAGCCAGCUGUUUUGCUCUGGAAAGCAGCAACGUUUUGCAGUGAUAGAAGGACUGGUGACAUGGAUCAUGCUGCUGGAGGAGGAGUCUCUCAGACUACAAAGGAAUCUGGAAGGAUUUGAUAGCUGAGGCUUUUCUUGUCGCAAGAACAAAGGGUGUGUGAUUGCUAUGGGAGCUCCCUGGCUUUGCAGCACUGUCAGUCUGCAGCAUCUCUAGA